CAAGCCUUAAGUUUAAAGAAAAGCCUACGGACCUAGAGGCAAGGAGCUACAAGUAUCUUCUUUUGUCUAUGGUGAAACUGAUUCAUGCAGACCCAAAGCUUUUGCUUUGUAAUCCAAGAAAACAGGGCCCUGAAACUCAAGGUAGUACAGCAGAACUGAUUACAGGGCUCGUACAGCUGGUUCCUCAGUCACACAUGCCAGAGGUCGCUCAGGAGGCUAUGGAGGCUUUGUUGGUUCUUCAUCAGUUAGACAGCAUUGAUCUGUGGAAUCCUGAUGCUCCUGUAGAAACGUUUUGGGAAAUUAGUUCACAAAUGCUUUUUUACAUCUGCAAGAAAUUAACUAGUCAUCAAAUGCUUAGUAGCACAGAAAUUCUCAAGUGGUUACGGGAAAUUCUGAUCUGCAGGAAUAAAUUUC
rnacentral:lncRNA from 1 species